AUACUUCUGAGGAGUCCCACAAUAGAACGAAACGGCUGUCCAGUGU
rnacentral:hammerhead_ribozyme from 1 species